GGUUUAAUUCGAUGAUACGCGAGGAACCUUACCCGGGCUUGAACUGUAGGCGAACGAUUCAGAGAUGAUGAGGCCCUUCGGGGCGCCUGUGGAGGUGCUGCAUGGUUGUCGUCAGCUCGUGCCGUGAGGUGUCGGCUUAAGUGCCAUAACGAGCGCAACCCCUGUUCUCAGUUGCCAUCGGGUAAUGCCGGGCACUCUGUGAAGACUGCCUCCGCAAGGAGUGA
rnacentral:rRNA from 1 species